AUUGCUUGUCAGCCUUUUAGCUAAGAUCAAGUGUAAUAUCUGUUCUUAUCAGUUUAAUAUCUGAUACAUCCUCUAUCCGAGGACAAUAUAUUAAAUGGGUUUUUGCAGCAGGAAGUUGGAGUAGGAGCUUGCUCCUUCCCCCGCAGCAUCGGCCUGCUGGUGCAGUACUUCCAGGAACGGUGCACCCCUU